ACAGUACAGUUACUAUACAUCAGACAGUUACUAUACAUCAGACAGUUACUAUACAUCAGACAGUUACUAUACAUCAGACAGUUACUAUACAUCAGACAGUACAGUUACUAUACAUCAGACAGUACAGUUACUAUACAUCAGACAGUUACUAUACAUCAGACAGUUACUAUACAUCAGACAGUUACUAUACAUCAGACAGUUACUAUACAUCAGACAGUACAGUUACUAUACAUCAUACAGUUACUAUACAUUAGACAUUACAGUUACUAUACAUCAGACAGUUACUAUACAUCAGACAGUUACUAUACAUUAGACAGUACAGUUACUAUACAUCAGACAGUUACUAUACAUCAGACAGUUACUAUACAUCAGACAGUUACUAUACAUCAGACAGUNNNNNNNNNNCCAUGGUUGGCCCUCUUGCCUAUUCUCCAUGGUUGGCCCUCUUGCCUAUUCUCCAUGGUUGGCCCUCUUGCCUAUUCUCCAUGGUUGGCCCUCUUGCCUAUUCUCCAUGGUUGGCCCUCUUGCCUAUUCUUUGAAGGUGGAAGGAGCCACAGUUAUACACCUGAGCUUGCCUACUGCACAACACAAUCCAUCAAUCAGAUUGAUACACGGCUGUGUAGGUGUGGGUUAUAAGGUGUCUAAUUGUUUGAAUUCUUAAAAUAGCCUCUUUUGUUUUUGUACGGACAUCACACCCCCUUAUCUAAACAGCAGCCUCAUCUGAGAAGUAGAAAUCAAAGGGAGAGAAACUGGGAAAUGAAUAACUACAGUUGACAUAGCUAAGUAAAUUGAAGAAUACUCUUAUUGCAAUGUGAAUGGCUCUUAAAUGAGCCUUUGGUUGUGCAUAGUGUAGUCUAUGGUGUUGCCAGGGAACAGCAACCUCGUUUAAGAAGUAGGAGGUGCAGAUCUCCCGCACAUGGAUUGCCUCUGCGUUGUUGGACCCCAUCUUUGAAACAUCCUGCAGAACAGCAGGCUUCUCCUCUGGCACACAGUGGCGACCUGCAGAUCCCCUCCUGGUCCUCGUGUCUAUCCUCAUGAAGUUAUGCAGGACACAGGUAGCCUUCACACACCUGAAUUCCCCAGGAGGCAGUCCCAGAUGGCCCUGGUCACCCAACCUUGCAGUGCCCUACAGCCUACAAGGUAACUGUAGGUAAUCAUUUUGAAGGAAUCUCCAGGUACAAGGUAUCUGUAGGAAUAUGAAAGACAAUGUAAUUAUUAGACUUUUACAUCACCAGGUCAUUGUGGAUUACUAAAGUAUAAUAUCCUUUCUAACAAAUCAUGAUAACAUUAGAUAGAUAGAUAGAUAGAUAGAUAGAUAGAUAGAUAGAUGCAUGUGCACACAGACGUGCAUGUGUAGCAUGUGACAAUAGCAGGAUCAUAUCAAGGAUAGCAUCACAAAUUACAUAAAUACCACUAGAAUAUUGAUCAUGAGUUGAUCAUUUGAAUCACCUGUGCAGUGCUAAGGCAAAAACAAAAUGUGCCCCUCUGAGUCCCCAGGACCAGGACUGAGAACCACUGCUCUUCAUCUGCAGACAGGCUUCACAGAUCUCUGUAUCUGAGGACAGAAAACCUCACAAGAAACAGACUUCAUUCUAGUCAAAUUACACCGCACUGAAUAUUAUGUUACUAUUAUCUCUGUCCUCACUUCUAGGGACAGGAACUACACAAAGUAUCUGCCCUAUCCAGAAUAGCCUACUCUCUCACACACAGUUGGGGCUGCUAUCCUUUCACCCUCCUACAUGGCGGUUAGCUAGCUACCUACAAAUGCAUUUGGAGUUGUUUUUUUUUACAGUGAUAAAUACAUCAAGAUAGCUAGCUAAUAUGAAGUUAGGUACAAACCUGCUAUGCUGAAUUCUUGACGCACAAUCAAACAUGCUGCCAUAUGCUGCCAGCACGCCCACAAGCAAGCCACUCUGGACGGCCUAAGCGGCACGCAGCAAUUUACAGUGUGCCAGUGUACACGAGCCGUUAGUACUGCUGUCUCAGUUCACUGUACUCUGAUCCACCACAAGGGACAAACACACAAAACAAUAUAUUUUAGAAUCGGUAGCUAGGUUCCCAUCCGAUUGGCGACAGAUUGUCAUGCGAAACUCUAAAUAAAGAAAAUAUGCACAUUUUUAAAUCAGUGUGUGGUUAUGUACUUUUUUCCUUAAAUGUUCAUGUACCGAAUUAAAAUCUAAAGUUCAAUAGGUUUGCCAUUUUCCGCAUAAUAAAUUAUACCAACACAAUAAGACCCCUCCAUGUCGAACGAACAAAUGAUCUGUCGGCAUUCAUAAAAUUGUAGCGAAACUUCCUGUUCCCGUCACAGCUGUCAUGAUUUGUUUUAAUACACUAUUUUAUAAUGUCUAUGGACUUCGCAUAAAAGCUGUGGAUGGAAACGUGGUUAGUGUAGUGAAACGUUUUGGCUGAAGUCCAUCGACAAGCUCCACUGAAUUACUCUUCUGACCAUAGAAACAUGUCAAUUCAGCUUGAGAAAGUCUAUGCUGUGAGGACAAGGAGACGCUGGUGGUGGGGGUGAUUGAUGCAGACAGGGGCUGGAGAUGAGACUGGGAGACUGGGAGACUAGGAGACUGGGAGACUAGGAGAUAGGAGACUGGGAGACUGGGAUACUAGGAGACUAGGAGACUGGGAGACUGGGAGACUAGGAGACUAGUCUGCCUUAUUAUUAUUCGACCAUGCUGGUCAUUUAUGAACAUUUGAACAUCUUGACCAUGUUUUGUUAUAAUCUCCACCCGGCACAGCCAGAAGAGGACUGGCCACCCCACAUAGCCUGGUUCCUCUCUAGGUUUCUUCCUAGGUUUUGGCCUUUCUAGGGAGUUUUUCCUAGCCACCGUGCUUCUUCACCUGCAUUGCUUGCUGUUUGGGGUUUUAGGCUGGGUUUCUGUACAGCACUUUGAGAUAUCAGCUGAUGUACGAAGGGCUAUAUAAAAUAAAUUUGAUUGAAUUUGAUUGACUAGGAGACUGGGAGACUAGGAGAUAGGAGACUAGGAGACUAGGAGACUAGGAGACUAGGAGACUGGGAGACUGGGAGACUGGGAGACUGGGAGAGUGGGAGACUAGGAGACUGGGAGACUAGGAGACUGGGAGACUAGGAGACUAGGAGACUGGGAGACUAGGAGACUGGGAGACUAGGAGACUGGGAGACUAGGANNNNNNNNNNGCCUUCACACACCUGAAUUCCCCAGGAGGCAGUCCCAGAUGGCCCUGGUCACCCAACCUUGCAGUGCCCUACAGCCUACAAGGUAACUGUAGGUAAUCAUUUUGAAGGAAUCUCCAGGUACAAGGUAUCUGUAGGAAUAUGAAAGACAAUGUAAUUAUUAGACUUUUACAUCACCAGGUCAUUGUGGAUUACUAAAGUAUAAUAUCCUUUCUAACAAAUCAUGAUAACAUUAGAUAGAUAGAUAGAUAGAUAGAUAGAUGCAUGUGCACACAGACGUGCAUGUGUAGCAUGUGACAAUAGCAGGAUCAUAUCAAGGAUAGCAUCACAAAUUACAUAAAUACCACUAGAAUAUUGAUCAUGAGUUGAUCAUUUGAAUCACCUGUGCAGUGCUAAGGCAAAAACAAAAUGUGCCCCUCUGAGUCCCCAGGACCAGGACUGAGAACCACUGCUCUUCAUCUGCAGACAGGCUUCACAGAUCUCUGUAUCUGAGGACAGAAAACCUCACAAGAAACAGACUUCAUUCUAGUCAAAUUACACCGCACUGAAUAUUAUGUUACUAUUAUCUCUGUCCUCACUUCUAGGGACAGGAACUACACAAAGUAUCUG
rnacentral:lncRNA from 13 species